AGCAAACUAGCUUUCCAGUACCUGCAAUAAUAAAGAAAAGUUCUAGGUGUACUUGUACAAUCUGUUUCCUGACUUGACCUCUCUUGAAGGAAUGACAUCAAUGCUGAAAGCUUCACAGAGGAUUUCCCCCUUUUAUACCAAAGAGUAUCAAGGGAGAACAAUCUUGCAUUUCUUUUUCACUUCCAGCUUCAUUCAAGGCUAAGUUGGUGUUUCUAUAUAAUGAUUGUGGAAUACUUUCUUCAAAUGAUCUUCAUGUUGCUUUACAUAUUAUCUUCCUGUGCCUGCUUUAGAAGAUUUUGUCUCCCUUUUGUGCUAGAGUGCUAUGACAUUCUCCUACAGUGAACAUGGUUUUUGUUUUGUCUCCAUGCAGAAUUGCUCCAAAUGAACUGUAUUUCCUAGUUAGAAGAGAUCAAACACUGUACUUCAACUUACAAAGAAUCUGUGAUAAUACCUGAAUGUUUAUCAUCUGACCUUUUUCACUCUUUUAUGCUGUUGAAAAUGAUGGCGGAAAGGGCACAUAUGUGAUCCAAGAAGAAUUUGGAAGAUGCAGUCAGAGAAGCUUGUCCAACCUGGGUGCCCUCCAGAUGCUGUGGAUGUCAGUUUCCAAAAUUCUCAACAAAAUCCAAGCAGACAUUGGGUUAGAUACAGAUGGAUGAUCUGUGAUUGGCUUCUCUACUGGAUAAAGCAUUUUUGCCAAAGACUUUUUCUUCUGCAUCUUACACCAUGAAAAAGCCAUAAAAUCAAGGGAAAGUGUCUGUUUCGUUACAUAAAAUUAUUAGACAUCUUACAUAUGUGAACCUACGAAUAGUUCAAAACAGAUGUAACUAAGAGAAUGAGAAAUUAUUUAUGAUUUGCUGGUGUAUCCAUUCAAAGUAAAAUUCCAAGAUAUUUUCAAGAGCUGACAUUUAUGGUAAACUAAUAAUAAUGCCUGGCAGAAAUGAGUUAUUCCGAAAGAUCAAAUUUUAUUAAUUCAAAAGCAUUAUAGUUCUAGACAACAUGAGAAACAACUGGACUGAUGAAUGAACUGCAUUGAAAACACUACUUCUUCAAAUGUUAUUCCCAUCUGAAAUGUAUGUAUUUAUAAAAUGGGUAAUUGAUUAAUAAAGAAAUCAAGUGCUGGUUCAGUAUAUUUUAAUAUGUAAUGUGUGAUAGAGAUUACAUUACAGAUUAUAUUUUAUAGAGUUCCACCAUCUCAACAGUACAACAUGCAGAUAUUGUACUUAGGCUAAUUAGAUGUCACAUUUGUAAUUAGAAUAUUGAUUGAUAAGCUGGUUUACUUUUUUCAUAUAUAUGUUUUAUUUCAAUAUCUGUUUACCUGCUUUGUCAUUGUUGAGCUAAUAACUAUUUAUUUAUACAUAAUUAAUAAUUAAGGUUUUUUUUAAAAAAAACUAACAUUAAAGUUGUAAAUGGAAUGUCUACCCACAAUUAUUUAAAAAAAAUACUCCACCCAAAAGGCAAAUAUAUUAUUAAAUGGGGAAAGUACAGAGACCUUUAAAAUAAUGAAAGGAGUAAGGCAGGGAUGCCCACUAUCACCUCUGCUCUUCAUCCUGACGCUUGAAAGUCUUUCAAUGAGAAUUAGACAAAAUUCUGAGAUAAGAGGAACUAAAAUUUAAAAAGAGGAAUAUAAAAUCCAGGCCUUUGCAGACGAUUUG